rnacentral:rRNA from 1 species
CUCGAGUCUUCGGACUUGGGUGGCGCACGGGUGAGUAACGCGUAAAGAAAAAGCCUCUUAGACCGGGACAACAUCUGGAAACGGAUGCUAAUACCGGAUAUUAUGGUUUUUUCGCAUGGAGGAAUCAUGAAAGCUAGAUGCGCUAAGAGAGAGCUUUGCGUCCCAUUAGCURGUUGGUGAGGUAACGGCCCACCAAGGCAAUGAUGGGUAGCCGGCCUGAGAGGGUGAACGGCCACAAGGGGACUGAGACACGGCCCUUACUCCUACGGGAGGCAGCAGUGGGGAAUAUUGGACAAUGGACCRCAAGUCUGAUCCAGCAAUUCUGUGUGCACGAUGACGUUUUUCGGAAUGUAAAGUGCUUUCAGUCGGGAAGAAGUCAGUGACGGUACCGACAGAAGAAGCGACGGCUAAAUACGUGCCAGCCGCCGCGGUAAA